UACGGAGGGAGCUAGCGUUAUUCGGAAUUACUGGGCGUAAAGCGUACGUAGGCGGCUUUGCAAGUUAGAGGUGAAAGCCUGGAGCUCAACUCCAGAACUGCCUUUAAAACUGCAUCGCUUGAAUCCAGGAGAGGUGAGUGGAAUUCCGAGUGUAGAGGUGAAAUUCGUAGAUAUUCGGAAGAACACCAGUGGCGAAGGCGGCUCACUGGACUGGUAUUGACGCUGAGGUGCGAAAGCGUGGGGAGCAAACAGG
rnacentral:rRNA from 1 species